rnacentral:rRNA from 1 species
UACGGAAGGCAGCGAGUGGGGAAUAUUGCACAAUGGGCGAAAGCCUGAUGCAGCUAUGCCGCGUGUAUGAAGAAGGCCUUAGGGUUGUAAAGUACUUUCAUCGGGGAGGAAAAACAAAACUAAUAAUUUUAUUUCUUGACGUUACCCGAAAAAGAAGCACCGGCUAACUCCGUGCCAGCAGCCGCGGUAAUACGGAGGGUGCUAGCGUUAAUCAGAAUUACUGGGCGUAAAGAGCACGUAGGUGGUUUUUUUAAAGUCAGAUGUGAAAUUCCCUGGGCUUAACCUAGGAACUGCAUUUUGAAACUGAAAUACUAGAGUAUCGUAGAGGGAGGUAGAAUUCUAGGUGUAGCGGUGAAAUGCGUAGAUAUCUGGAGGAAUACCUGUGGCGAAAGCGGCCUCCUAAACGAAUACUGACACUGAGGGUGCGAAAGCGUGGGGAGCAAACAGGAUUAGAUACC